rnacentral:rRNA from 1 species
UACGAAGGGGGCUAGCGUUGUUCGGAAUUACUGGGCGUAAAGCGCGCGCAGGCGGCUAUCCAAGUCAGUGGUGAAAGCCCGGAGCUCAACUCCGGAACUGCCAUUGAAACUGUUUAGCUUGAGGAUGAGAGAGGUGAGUGGAAUUCCCAGUGUAGAGGUGAAAUGCGCAGAUAUCAGGAGGAACACCGGUGGCGAAGGCGGGUCUCUGGGCCGAUACUGACGCUGAGGAGCGAAAGCGUGGGGAGCGAACAGG